UGAACAUCUAAACCCACGUAGCCCCAGCCCCAUUUGUUCAGUCCCUCACCUCACCACACCUCAUCCCUAAUUCCUCUUCCAAUCUUCCUCCAACUCCAACGAAGAGCAGCCGCCACCCAGCCACCAUCACCGCUAUCCACUCCUCACCGUGGGUCGUCGGUGCUUCUCCCCUCCUCGCCCUGCUCCUCAUCGUUUCUGGCUGUCACUUCUUCUCUGCUUCCCGUUAGUCUUCCCGUUGCUGCCUCUUCGCUCCGCACCGUCUCCCGUCAUCGUUGCAUACGUUGCUUCUCCUUGCCGUCGUCGUCUCUCAAAGAUCUGCUUGGAGCUGUUGGCGUCGCAGUCUCCGUCAUCGUCGUCUUCGAGCCCUCUCACUCCUUCUCUUUCUGUCCGAGCUGAAUUUCCUUCCUCCCUGGCCGUCACUUCCCUUCCUCCCUCAUUGCCAGUUGAAUAAUUGUUGAAUAAUUGUUCAUUGUUCCGAAAGUCCAAAGAAAUAAGAAGCUUCUAGGUUGAAUAAUUGUUGA